rnacentral:rRNA from 1 species
UACGAAGGGGGCUAGCGUUGCUCGGAAUCACUGGGCGUAAAGGGCGCGUAGGCGGCCGAUCAAGUCGGGGGUGAAAGCCUGUGGCUCAACCACAGAAUUGCCUUCGAUACUGGUUGGCUUGAGACCGGAAGAGGUAAGUGGAACUGCGAGUGUAGAGGUGAAAUUCGUAGAUAUUCGCAAGAACACCAGUGGCGAAGGCGGCUCACUGGCCCGGUACUGACGCUGAGGUGCGAAAGCGUGGGGAGCAAACAGG